rnacentral:rRNA from 1 species
GACGAACGCUGGCGGCGUGCCUAAUACAUGCAAGUCGAGCGAGCGGAACCAGCAGAUCUGCUUCGGCAGUGACGCUGGGAAAGCGAGCGGCGGAUGGGUGAGUAACACGUGGGGAACCUGCCCCAGAGUCUGGGAUACCACUUGGAAACAGGUGCUAAUACCGGAUAAGAAAGCAGAUCGCAUGAUCAGCUUUUAAAAGGCGACGUAAGCUGUCGCUCAGGGAUGGCCCCGCGGUGCAUUAGCUAGUUGGCAAGGUAACGGCCUACCAAGGCAAUGAUGCAUAGCCGAGUUGAGAGACUGAUCGGCCACAUUGGGACUGAGACACGGCCCAAACUCCUACGGGAGGCAGCAGUAGGGAAUCUUCCACAAUGGACGCAAGUCUGAUGGAGCAACGCCGCGUGAGUGAAGAAGGUCUUCGGAUCGUAAAGCUCUGUUGUUGGUGAAGAAGGAUAGAGGUAGUAACUGGCCUUUAUUUGACGGUAAUCAACCAGAAAGUCACGGCUAACUACGUGCCAGCAGCCGCGGUAAUACGUAGGUGGCAAGCGUUGUCCGGAUUUAUUGGGCGUAAAGCGAGCGCAGGCGGAAAAAUAAGUCUAAUGUGAAAGCCCUCGGCUUAACCGAGGAAUUGCAUCGGAAACUGUUUUUCUUGAGUGCAGAAGAGGAGAGUGGAACUCCAUGUGUAGUGGUGGAAUGCGUAGAUAUAUGGAAGAACACCAGUGGCGAAGGCGGCUCUCUGGUCUGCAACUGACGCUGAGGCUCGAAAGCAUGGGUAGCGAACAGG